rnacentral:rRNA from 1 species
GACGUAGGGCGCGAGCGUUGUCCGGAUUUAUUGGGCGUAAAGAGCUCGUAGGCGGUUUGUCGCGUCUGCCGUGAAAACCCGAGGCUUAACCUCGUGGCUUGCGGUGGAUACGGGCAGACUAGAGGUAGGUAGGGGAGAAUGGAAUUCCCGGUGUAGCGGUGAAAUGCGCAGAUAUCGGGAGGAACACCGGUGGCGAAGGCAGGUCUCUGGGCAUUAACUGACGCUGAGGAGCGAAAGCAUGGGGAGU